rnacentral:rRNA from 1 species
GUUUUCCUACGGGGCGCAGCAGUGGGGAAUAUUGCACAAUGGGGGAAACCCUGAUGCAGCGACGCCGCGUGGGCGAGGAAGUACCUCGGUAUGUAAAGCCCUAUCAGCAGGGAAGAAACAGGACAGUACCUGACUAAGAAGCCCCGGCUAACUCCGUGCCAGCAGCCGCGGUAAUACGGAGGAUGCGAGCGUUAUCCGGAUUUAUUGGGUUUAAAGGGUGCGUAGGCGGACUGUUAAGUCAGCGGUAAAAGCCCGGGGCUCAACCCCGGCGAGCCGUUGAAACUGGCUGUCUUGAGAUGUCGAGG